rnacentral:rRNA from 1 species
UACGAAGGGGGCGAGCGUUGUUCGGAUUUACUGGGCGUAAAGGGCGCGCAGGCGGCUAUCCAAGUCAGGCGUGAAAGCCCCGGGCUUAACCUGGGAGGUGCGUCUGGGACUGGGUGGCUAGAGUUCGGGAGAGGAGAGUGGAAUUCCCAGUGUAGCGGUGGAAUGCGCAGAUAUCAGGAGGAACACCGGUGGCGAAGGCGGGUCUCUGGGCAGUAACUGACGCUGAGGAGCGAAAGCGUGGGGAGCGAACAGG